AUACGUAGGUUGCAAGCGUUGUCCGGAUUUACUGGGUGUAAAGGGUGCGUAGGCGGAUUGGCAAGUCAGAUGUGAAAUACCGCAGCUUAACUGCGGGGCUGCAUUUGAAACUGUCGAUCUUGAGUGCAGGAGAGGUAAGCGGAAUUCCCAGUGUAGCGGUGAAAUGCGUAGAUAUUGGGAGGAACACCAGUGGCGAAGGCGGCUUCCUGGCACACAACUGGCGCUCAUGUGCGAAAGCCAGGGCAGC
rnacentral:rRNA from 1 species